rnacentral:rRNA from 1 species
GUGGGGAAUCUUAGACAAUGGGGGAAACCCUGAUCUAGCCAUGCCGCGUGAGCGAUGAAGGCCUUAGGGUUGUAAAGCUCUUUCAGCUGGGAAGAUAAUGACGGUACCAGCAGAAGAAGCCCCGGCUAACUCCGUGCCAGCAGCCGCGGUAAUACGGAGGGGGCUAGCGUUGUUCGGAAUUACUGGGCGUAAAGCGCGCGUAGGCGGACCAGAAAGUUGGAGGUGAAAUCCCAGGGCUCAACCUUGGAACUGCCUUCAAAACUCCUGGUCUGGAGUUCGGGAGAGGUGAGUGGAAUUCCGGGUGUAGAGGUGAAAUUCGUAGAUAUUCGGAGGAACACCAGUGGCGAAGGCGGCUCACUGGCUCGAUACUGACGCUGAGGUGCGAAAGCGUGGGGAGCAAACAGGAUUAGAUACCCGUGUAGUCC